GCCGUCAUCCCGCACGCCACCGUCGUGUUACUGCCGCCCUUCAAAGAGUGAAAUUUGGUAGGUUGGUGGUGGUCGGUGGCGGCGCCAUAUAUGCUGUGGUUGAAGAAGUUCACCAUGGCUUCAAAGAACAAGCUUAUUUUGUUAUAUGCAAAGAAGAUUUCUGUGCUUACUUUUUUGUGUUUUAAUUUUUCUGAAAACUUUGAC
rnacentral:lncRNA from 1 species